rnacentral:sRNA from 1 species
CCAAGUGUUUGUGAAGAACAGCAAGUGACUGUGGUUGGACUUGCACACCCAUGUGUUUGGGCAUUCACACACAUUGUCAAGCUCUGCAAACAAGGCUGUACUGGCUCAAGUUGGUGUGUGAGCUAUGAAAGAAGGCGGUACUACACCAUCUAUGGACAGGUGUACAACACGGAGCAGCAGCCUGUCUACUGGUGCUGCCCUGUUUGGAACCAGUGGGAUGAUGAACUGGGAUUUUAGCUAUCGCUGCAGUGGGAACUUGUUUCAAUGGAAGAAAAUGCUCAGAUGGUGAAGGCCAGUAGUGCCAGCGUUCAGAGGGAUUUCAUGGACCCCACUGUCGAUAUAAAUGAAUGUACCAUUGACAAUGGUGGCUGUCAAGAUCGAUGCUGUAAUACAGUUGGCAGUUAUUUACUGCAAAUGUCAAGCUGGCCAGAAGCUGGAGGAAGAUGGCAAAGGAUGUGGAUGUCGAUGAAUGUGCAGUGGUGAAUGGAGGCUGCCAGCAGUGCUGUAUUAACACUCUGGGCACCUUCCACUGUGAAUGUGAUACGGGAUAGAGACUGCAUGCUGACGAACGCACCUGCAAGGGAUUGAAUUGGAAAUUGUCAAUAGCUGUGAAAAGAACAAUAGUGUUUGUUCCCAUCACCGUGAACAUGAAAUUGGUGCUCCCUGUUGUUCCUGUAACCAUGGACACCAGCUUGAUUCCGAUGAGAAAACAUGCAGAUCUUGAUGAAUGUGAGAAUGGAGAAGCCUGCUGUGCUCAGCUCUGCAUCAACUAUUUAGGAGGUUACAAAUGCAGAUGUCAGGAAGGCUUUCAGAUCACUUCCGAUGGUUGUGGAUGUGGCUUUAGAUGAUGAUGAGUUGGAGGAAGAAGAGGAGUGGGAAGUUGUGAGGUUUCCAGGUCUUCUAUUCAAGAGCCCACCUCAACAGCUUCAUUAUGUUGCUACCUUUCUGCCUCCCACCUACAAAGAUGAAGAAGAUGAGGAGGAAGAGGAAAAAGAUAUUCGUAGAGAACUGACUGCUUUGCACAAUUUUGGUGUGUUUAGAUCACAUCUUUGGACACAAUUGCAGCUUGAGCUGCAAGGACUGAAUGAAUGGAGGACAGUGCCAGGAAGGAGUGAAUGCUCCUGCCCAGCAGGUUGGGGUGUCAUUCCUUGUAAUGAAAGUAAGGUUAAUAUUUUCUUCAUUUCUCCUCUCACCCUCCAGGAUGCCCAAAAGGGUUCUUUGGGAAGAACUGCAAAAGGAAAUGUAACUGUGCCAACAAUGACCAUUGCCGCAGGAUGUAUGGUGCCCAUAUGUGUGAGCCAGGGCGCUAUGGGAGGUUUUGUCAUCUGAUGUCCCAAGGGUGCCUACGGAGCUGGCUGCACUUCAGAAUGUCAGUGUGUGGAGGAGAAUACCCUGGAAUGCAGUGCCAAAAAUGGUAGUUGCACCUGCAAAUCUGGUUACCAAGGCAACAGAUGCCAGAAAGGUAUGCUC